rnacentral:tRNA from 1 species
GGAGAGGUGACAGAGUGGUUGAAUGUACCGCACUCGAAAUGCGGAGUACCUUAUAGGUAUCGGGGGUUCGAAUCCCCCUCUCUCCUCCA